rnacentral:rRNA from 1 species
UACGGGGGGGGCAAGCGUUGUUCGGAAUUACUGGGCGUAAAGGGCUCGUAGGCGGCCAACUAAGUCGGAUGUGAAAUCCCCGGGCUCAACCUGGGAAUUGCAUUUGUGACUGCACGGCUAGAGUGUGUCAGAGGGGGGUAGAAUUCCACGUGUAGCAGUGAAAUGCGUAGAGAUGUGGAGGAAUACCGAUGGCGAAGGCAGCCCCCCUGGGAUAACACUGACGCUCAUGCACGAAAGCGUGGGGAGCAAACAGG